ACCCACCAGCCGAGGGAGGCUGACUUCAGACACUCACCUUCUGCCGCCUGCGCACCAGACAAGCCCAGCUGCAGCACUCCUGCAGGCUCUACCGCCAUGCAGAGCCUGCAGAUGUACCGCGAUCACUCCUGCAGGCUCUCAGCCCGAUGCCUGGUGCAUGCACACUGCAGAAAGACAGCUCCCCACCAGGGCCUGGGACUCUUCCUCCCCCGGUUUGAUGUGUGACCAGGUUUACUGACUCAUGGACAAAGCUUGGUUCUCCUGAGGUGUCACUGCUUUCCAAUCAGCAAUUUCUUCUGGUGAGAGGCUGGCAGAAACCUUCCACAGUGGAUCAAAUUGGAGCUGCAAGAGUGAAAAGAAAAAUGAUGAACCACCACCCAAGCCCCACCUCACCCCACCUCCCACCCACCAAUUUCAAAGAGCAAACAGAAUUUUGGGAUGAAGAGCUUCUGGUAAACAAGUCCCCCAGUCACUGCAGAUGGAGGUGUGAUUGUGGGAGGGAAGAGUCUUUGGUUCCCAGGAGUGUAUGUGCUGCAUUUUCCACAACAGGAGAGAACUCUAACAUCCCGGUGUUCCAAGACUGAUAAAUGUUUAUAUUAAAAAAAAAAAAAAAAAAAAAAAA